GUUCGAUCCUCGUGUAGAAAAGGGAAUUCAAUCUUUCAACGAUGUUCCACGAGAUAGAGGCUCCACUGCCGUUUUGAAGAGAAGGAUGUAAACUUUAUCUAUUGAAAAAUACAAGAACCCACCCAGAGAAUGUGUUACAUAGGACCCAAAGCUAGUUCCCACGAUGCAGUGCCAAGCCGGACCAUAGGAGGAAUCAAAUUCCUUUUUAAGGGCAAGAGCAAGGCGUUUGCUAUCGAGCUU
rnacentral:misc_RNA from 1 species